rnacentral:rRNA from 1 species
UACGGAGGGUGCAAGCGUUGUUCGGAAUUACUGGGCGUAAAGCGCGUGUAGGCGGUUUCCUCAGUCUGGUGUGAAAGCCCGGGGCUCACCCCCGGAAGUGCAUCGGAUACUGGGAGACUAGAGUACCGGAGAGGAGGGUGGAAUUCCUGGUGUAGCGGUGAAAUGCGUAGAUAUCAGGAGGAACACCUGUGGUGUAGACAGCUUACUGGACCAUUUCUGACGCUGAGACACGAAAGCGUGGGUAGCAAACAGG